rnacentral:rRNA from 1 species
CGGGUACAACGAGUCGCAAGACCGCGAGGUUUAGCAAAUCUCUUAAAGCCGUUCUCAGUUCGGAUUGUAGGCUGCAACUCGCCUACAUGAAGUCGGAAUCGCUAGUAAUCGCGGAUCAGCAUGCCGCGGUGAAUACGUUCCCGGGCCUUGUACACACCGCCCGUCACACCAUGAGAGUUUGUAACACCCAAAGCCGGUGGGGUAACCUUUUGGAGCCAGCCGUCUAAGGUGGGACAGAUGAUUAGGGUGAAGUCGUAACAAGGUAUC